GCGCACGGUGGAUGCCUUGGCACUAGGAGCCGAUGAAGGACGGGACUAACACCGAUAUGCUUUGGGGAGCUGUACGUAAGCUAUGAUCCAGAGAUUUCCGAAUGGGGGAACCCAACAUCUUUAAUAGGAUGUUACGAUUGUGUGAAUACAUAGCACAUUCGAGGUAGACGCAGAGAACUGAAACAUCUAAGUACCUGCAGGAAGAGAAAGAAAAUUCGAUUCCCUGAGUAGCGGCGAGCGAAACGGGAAAAGCCCAAACCAGCAAGCUUGCUUGUUGGGGUUGUAGGACUCCAAUAUGGUAGUUCUUUCAGAUAGUCGAAUGACUUGGAAAAGUCAGUCAAAGAGGGUAAAAACCCCGUAGACGAAAUGUGGAAGACACCUAGGAGGAUCCUGAGUACGGCGGAACACGAGAAAUUCCGUCGGAAUCCGGGAGGACCAUCUCCCAAGGCUAAAUACUCCCUAGUGACCGAUAGUGAACCAGUACCGUGAGGGAAAGGUGAAAAGCACCCCGGAAGGGGAGUGAAAUAGAACCUGAAACCGUGUGCCUACAACAAGUCAAAGCCCGUUAAUGGGUGAUGGCGUGCCUUUUGUAGAAUGAACCGGCGAGUUACGAUUGCAUGCGAGGUUAAGUUGAAGAGACGGAGCCGCAGCGAAAGCGAGUCUGAAUAGGGCGUUUGAGUAUGUAGUCGUAGACCCGAAACCAUGUGAUCUACCCAUGUCCAGGUUGAAGGUGCGGUAAAACGCACUGGAGGACCGAACCCACGUACGUUGAAAAGUGCGGGGAUGAGGUGUGGGUAGCGGAGAAAUUCCAAACGAACUUGGAGAUAGCUGGUUCUCUCCGAAAUAGCUUUAGGGCUAGCCUCGGAAUUGAGAAUGAUGGAGGUAGAGCACUGUUUGGACUAGGGGCCCAUCUCGGGUUACCGAAUUCAGAUAAACUCCGAAUGCCAUUCAUUCAUAUCCGGGAGUCAGACUGUGAGUGAUAAGAUCCAUAGUCGAAAGGGAAACAGCCCAGACCACCAGCUAAGGUCCCAAAAUAUAUGUUAAGUGGAAAAGGAUGUGGGGUUGCACAGACAACUAGGAUGUUGGCUUAGAAGCAGCCACCAUUUAAAGAGUGCGUAAUAGCUCACUAGUCGAGUGACCCUGCGCCGAAAAUGUACCGGGGCUAAACAUAUUACCGAAGCUGUGGAGUACACCUUUAGGUGUAUUGGUAGGAGAGCGUUCUAAGGGCGUUGAAGGCAGAUCGUGAGGACUGCUGGAGCGCUUAGAAGUGAGAAUGCCGGUAUGAGUAGCGAAAGACAGGUGAGAAUCCUGUCCACCGAAUGACUAAGGUUUCCUGGGGAAGGCUCGUCCGCCCAGGGUUAGUCGGGACCUAAGCCGAGGCCGACAGGCGUAGGCGAUGGAUAACAGGUUGAUAUUCCUGUACCCGUUGUUUUUGUUUGAGCAAUGGAGGGACGCAGGAGGCUAAGGAAUGCAGACGAUCGGAAAUGUCUGUCCAAGCAGUAAGUCUGAAGAGGAGUCAAAUGCUUCUUUUCUUAAGGACAAGCUGUGAUGGGGAGGGAAAUAAUAGUACCGAAGUUCCUGAUGUCACACUGCCGAGAAAAGCUUCUAGUGAGAAAACAGCGGCCCGUACCGCAAACCGACACAGGUAGUCGAGGAGAGAAUCCUAAGGUGAGCGAGAGAACUCUCGUUAAGGAACUCGGCAAAAUGACCCCGUAACUUCGGGAGAAGGGGUGCUGAUCAUACGAUCAGCCGCAGUGAAUAGGCCCAAGCGACUGUUUAUCAAAAACACAGGUCUCUGCAAAAUCGUAAGAUGAAGUAUAGGGGCUGACGCCUGCCCGGUGCUGGAAGGUUAAGAGGAGUGCUUAGCGCAAGCGAAGGUACGAAUUGAAGCCCCAGUAAACGGCGGCCGUAACUAUAACGGUCCUAAGGUAGCGAAAUUCCUUGUCGGGUAAGUUCCGACCCGCACGAAAGGCGUAACGAUUUGGGCACUGUCUCAACGAGAGACUCGGUGAAAUUUUAGUACCUGUGAAGAUGCAGGUUACCCGCGACAGGACGGAAAGACCCCAUGGAGCUUUACUGUAGUUUGAUAUUGAGUGUCUGUACCGCAUGUACAGGAUAGGUAGGAGCCGUAGAAAUCGGAACGCUAGUUUCGAUGGAGGCGCUGGUGGGAUACUACCCCUGCGUUAUGGCCACUCUAACCCGCACCACUAAUCGUGGUGGGAGACAGUGUCAGAUGGGCAGUUUGACUGGGGGCGGUCGCCUCCUAAAAGGUAACGGAGGCGCCCAAAGGUUCCCUCAGAAUGGUUGGAAAUCAUUCGAAGAGUGUAAAGGCAGAAGGGAGCUUGACUGCGAGACCAACAAGUCGAGCAGGGACGAAAGUCGGGCUUAGUGAUCCGGUGGUUCCGCAUGGAAGGGCCAUCGCUCAACGGAUAAAAGCUACCCUGGGGAUAACAGGCUUAUCUCCCCCAAGAGUCCACAUCGACGGGGAGGUUUGGCACCUCGAUGUCGGCUCGUCGCAUCCUGGGGCUGUAGUCGGUCCCAAGGGUUGGGCUGUUCGCCCAUUAAAGCGGCACGCGAGCUGGGUUCAGAACGUCGUGAGACAGUUCGGUCCCUAUCCGUCGCGGGCGUUGGAAAUUUGAGAGGAGCUGUCCUUAGUACGAGAGGACCGGGAUGGACUUACCGCUGGUGUACCAGUUGUUCUGCCAAGGGCAUUGCUGGGUAGCUAUGUAGGGAAGGGAUAAACGCUGAAAGCAUCUAAGUGUGAAGCCCACCUCAAGAUGAGAUUUCCCAUUUCUUUAAGAAAGUAAGAUCCCUGAGAGAUGAUCAGGUAGAUAGGUCAGGAGUGGAAGUACAGUGAUGUAUGGAGCGGACUGAU
rnacentral:rRNA from 1 species